UACGUAGGCAGCAAGCGUUGUUCGGAGUUACUGGGCGUAAAGGGUGCGUAGGCGGCUUUUUAAGUUUGGUGUGAAAUCUCCCGGCUCAACUGGGAGGGUGCGCCGAAUACUGAGAGGCUAGAGUGUGGGAGAGGAAAGUGGAAUUCCGUGGUGUAGCGGUGAAAUGCGUAGAUAUCAGGAGGAACACCGGUGGUGUAAACGGCUUUCUGGACCAUAACUGACGCUGAGGCACGAAAGCGUGGGUAGCAAACAGG
rnacentral:rRNA from 1 species